ensembl:lncRNA
UGGAAGUUUCACAGAGUUUUCACUUUUUGAGUGUCUCUUUCAUAAUUCGAUUAUGGAAAGGUUGUUAUAGUGAUGACAGGUUUUUGUUUUUACUGAAGGUGUGAUAGUUCUCUCUCGGGUUUUUAGCCCUCACUUUGACAUCCUGACACUACUCAAGAACUGUUUCCCCAGCAGCUUGAGGGGUGGAGAAAUGCAGAAGUAUCCCACAGAGCGUACUCUACUGUCCAGUAUACAUAGCAAUACCAUUUUGUUAUGUGGUAACAAACAUUUAGUAUGGUGUGACAAUAUGCUUAAAAAACAGGUUGCGGCAGCAACUAUAAAGAAAACUUAAUUGAGGAAAGACAAGGAAAAGUUCCCCUGAGUUUUUAUGAUUUUGUUUUGAUUAAAGAAAGCCACCAUGGAACCAUGAAACCAGGUAUGCCAAAAUAGUCAGCUUUCUUUCUACCCACUCUAGAAUAGUCUGGAAAGUCUCUGUUACUGAGGAAGCUUGCAAACCACAUCUCUGUUACAGAUGAAGAUGCAGCUCUACUGGACUUGUUUCUCCAUCAAUUGUUUCUCCAUCUCCAGAUAUUUUGUUAUUUUCAAAAGUCCUGAAAGAAAUGGUAGAAUGGCCAAAGUUCAUACCAGAAAGUGUUUAUCCUCUAGCGGAUGUGUACAUCUCUACCUUGGUUUGCCUCCCAUGUAGACUAUUUAUAGUCAUCCAUUGGAUUUUCAUUAGCGGUAUAAUUGAUCUUUAUUCUGCUUUUGAAGUUUGUACACACCUGUCCUACAGGUUAGAGGUGAACUCAGUUUUAUCCCUCUGGCUACAGAUAGAUCUUAGUGCCUUAUUAGAUGUCUAUCCAAGUAGGUGGAGCUCUGUGUCAGACUGACAGCAGGUGAUUAGUAAGGCAGUCGUGGCAGUGUAUGCUCAGGCUCAUGCCUGACAUGUUGUAAGUUCGCUACGUUGCUCCAGCAAUAAGGUUCUCGGGAGGUCUGUUAAACACCAUUAAAAAAAAAAACUUGAUUUAAUUAGGAGACUGAAUUAUAAAGAUUAAUUUGAUAACUAAUUAUCACAAGUACAAAAUAGUAGAUUAGUAAUAUAGUAAGAUAAGUGAACAUUACCAAUGAGUUAUGAUUUAAAUGACCAAUUUUGCAUAUAGUAUUGCUGUAAUUCUUGUGUUUUAUCUUCAGAUAAUAGAUGUGGAAACUAAAGAAAGAUUUACUUAUUUUAUACUUUAAAUAGCCAAAAAAAAAACCUUCUGUCAUUUAGCUUUUUAUGAUCAAGAAUCUUGUUUUGUGUGAAAUCAUUAUUCACGUCUUAUUACAGACUUUAGUGGUCCUUGUAUUGUUUUGGUUGAAAAAGACAUCUAAGCACAACAGUUGCAAAUUGUCAGUGACUGUAUGUAGUGAUACAGUCCUUCAAAAUCAAUUUGAUCUCAGUUCAUGAAGAAAUUAAAUUGAAAUAAAAAGGAUUUAAAAUAAUUGCAGAAUUCCCUAUACGGAGUUGGACUAGAUGAUCUCAAGAGGUGAUUUCCAGCCUAAACAGGUGACUCUGUACAGUUACAAAAAUAAAAUAGCAAGUUUUAUUAGCAUUCUAUUAUUUAUAUCUAUAAUUUCAGAUUUUUUGCAAUGUUAUUUGUUAGUGGAAUUUUAUGUAUAAAUGUAGACAGCAUGAAGUCCAACUUGUAUAACAGCAUGACUGUAUAUGCAAAUAGAUAUAACAUGCUUCAAGCUAGAAUGUGACCUUUAUUUUUCUCAUUAAUUGUCACAUUGCCUAGAAUGGCUUUUCAUACAACCUACCUGUCACUUUACCAAAAAGAGGGGAGGGAAGGGGGUCCAUACGUCAGUGUGAAUGACAAACAAGUAGAGAUGCAUUUGGAGAAAUCUGUCUAGGUUCUUCUGAAACAUGAAGUAUUUUGCUCUCCCCUGGAAAAAUUACAUGACAGAACAAAAUUAAGAAGAAAGCACACACAUCCUUCGCAACGUUGCCUUAGCCAAGCUAGUCUGUUGGGUCAUGCGCGAAAAACAGCCAAGCCCUAGGACUGAGAUUGUAUUGACAAGAACAAGAUGAAUGGCCCCCUGGAGACUACAGGUCUCAACCAUUAGCUGGGGAUUUUCAUCACCAGUGAACAACAGCUUGCAUGCCACACUUGCAAAAAUCUGCAUGGCUGUCCAGAAUGUGACUUGUCACUCACGUCGCUAUUGACACUGCUGAAACACAACACCUCAUGGGGCUGAAACACCUCACUGUGCUCACACCCACUGUUUGGUCUCCGUAAACAUUCAGCAAGCAUUAAUGAAUGUCAAAGUGUGCCAUUUCUUCUACACAGAGGAAUUCAGUUCUAUGCCUUUGCUUCAUAGGCACUUCCACUACAAACACCGUUUUUAUCAGAUUGCCCUUCUGCUGCCAUCUGUCACACAGUAACAAAACCUAAUAACGUUGCAAGGAAGGUUCAACCUCUACUGCCAUACCACCAGCACAAUCAACUGGGAGGCAUUACUUUCGGAGCAGCUAUUAUAACAUGCCUGGAUUUCAUAAAACAUUGCCCUAAUAAAUAUAUUCAUGUUUUUGCUGUAUUUCAUAUCAGAGCUGUUCAGUUUUGCAUGUAAUUAAAUCCAAUAAAGCUAUCCGUAUCUUA